CACGCAGGCGGUCUGUCAAGUCGGAUGUGAAUUCCCCGGGCUCAACCUGGGAACUGCAUCCGAAACUGGCAGGCUAGAGUCUUGUAGAGGGGGUAGAAUUCCAGGUGUAGCGGUGAAAUGCGUAGAGAUCUGGAGGAAUACCGGUGGCGAAGGCGGCCCCCUGGACAAAGACUGACGCUCAGGUGCGAAAGCGUGGGGAGCAAACA
rnacentral:rRNA from 1 species